UGGCUCCAGGACGAACGCUGGCGGCGUGCCUAAUACAUGCAAGUUGAGCGCUGAAGGUUGGUACUUGUACCGACUGGAUGAGCAGCGAACGGGUGAGUAACGCGUGGGGAAUCUGCCUUUGAGCGGGGGACAACAUUUGGAAACGAAUGCUAAUACCGCAUAAAAACUUUAAACACAAGUUUUAAGUUUGAAAGAUGCAAUUGCAUCACUCAAAGAUGAUCCCGCGUUGUAUUAGCUAGUUGGUGAGGUAAAGGCUCACCAAGGCGAUGAUACAUAGCCGACCUGAGAGGGUGAUCGGCGGACAAGACGAGAGCCCCCA
rnacentral:rRNA from 1 species